CGGCGGACGGGUGAGUAACACGUGGAUAACCUACCUAUAAGACUGGGAUAACUUCGGGAAACCGGAGCUAAUACCGGAUAAUAUAUUGAACCGCAUGGUUCAAUAGUGAAAGACGGUUUUGCUGUCACUUAUAGAUGGAUCCGCGCCGCAUUAGCUAGUUGGUAAGGUAACGGCUUACCAAGGCAACGAUGCGUAGCCGACCUGAGAGGGUGAUCGGCCACACUUGGAACUGAGACACGGUCCAGACUCCUACGGGAGGCAGCAGUG
rnacentral:rRNA from 1 species